UACGAAGGGGGCUAGCGUUGCUCGGAAUCACUGGGCGUAAAGCGCACGUAGGCGGAUUGUUAAGUCAGGGGUGAAAUCCUGGAGCUCAACUCCAGAACUGCCUUUGAUACUGGCGAGCUUGAGUCCGGGAGAGGUGAGUGGAACUGCGAGUGUAGAGGUGAAAUUCGUAGAUAUUCGCAAGGACACCAGUGGCGAAGGCGGCUCACUGGCCCGGUACUGACGCUGAGGUGCGAAAGCGUGGGGAGCAAACAGG
rnacentral:rRNA from 1 species